CCUACGGGUGGCAGCAGUGGGGAAUAUUGGACAAUGGGGGAAACCCUGAUCCAGCGACGCCGCGUGAGUGAAGAAGUAUUUCGGUACGUAAAGCUCUAUCAGCAGGAAAGAAGAUGACGGUACCUGCAUAAGAAGCCCCGGCUAACUACGUGCCAGCAGCCGCGGUAAUACGUAGGGGGCAAGCGUUCUCCGGAAUCACUGGGUGUAAAGGGAGCGUAGACGGCUGUGCAAGCCUGAAGUGAAAGGCGGGGGCCCAACCCCUGGACUGCUUUGGGAACUGUACGGCUGGAGUGCAGGAGAGGUGAGUGGAAUUCCUAGUGUAGCGGUGAAAUGCGUAGAUAUUAGGAGGAACACCAGUGGCGAAGGCGGCUUACUGGACUGUAACUGACGUUGAGGCUCGAAAGCGUGGGGAGCAAACAGGAUUAGAUACCCCUGUAGUC
rnacentral:rRNA from 1 species